GGGGGCGAGCGUUGUCCGGAUUUAUUGGGCGUAAAGGGCGUGUAGGCGGUCAUGUAAGUCUGGUGUUUAAGCCCGGGGCUCAACCCCGGUUCGCAUCGGAAACUGUGUGACUUGAGUGCAGAAGAGGAAAGUGGAAUUCCACGUGUAGCGGUGAAAUGCGUAGAGAUGUGGAGGAACACCAGUGGCGAAGGCGACUUUCUGGACUGUAACUGACGCUGAGGCGCGAAAGCGUGGGGAUCAAACAG
rnacentral:rRNA from 1 species